rnacentral:rRNA from 1 species
UACGUAGGGUGCGAGCGUUAAUCGGAAUUACUGGGCGUAAAGCGUGCGCAGGCGGUUGGGCAAGACAGAUGGGAAAUCCCCGGGCUCAACCUGGGAAUUGCAUUUGUGACUGCACGGCUAGAGUGUGUCAGAGGGGGGUAGAAUUCCACGUGUAGCAGUGAAAUGCGUAGAGAUGUGGAGGAAUACCGAUGGCGAAGGCAGCCCCCUGGGAUAACACUGACGCUCAUGCACGAAAGCGUGGGGAGCAAACAGG